CUCGUCUGAGGGGACGCGAGGACCGUCUUCGUCGCGGUUUCGGCCAGCGCGUUGGGCCUGGCCUUGACAAGCAGCGUGAGGAGAGGCUGAGCCGGACCUGGAUCCCUGUGAUUGCCGCCUGCUCCUCCCACCUCUGGUCUCACGAGGGGUUUCCCGCCUCGCGCCCCCCCCCCCACCUCUGGACUUGCGCUUCUUUUCUCUCCGCGUGUGGAGGGAGUCAGUGCUUAGGCCGGAGCGAGCCUGGGGGCCGCCGGCCGUGAAGGCAUCGCGGGGACCGAUUCACCAUG
rnacentral:other from 1 species